AGAGUUUGAUCCUGGCUCAGGAUGAACGCUAGCUACAGGCUUAACACAUGCAAGUCGAGGGGCAGCAUGGUCUUAGCUUGCUAAGGCCGAUGGCGACCGGCGCACGGGUGAGUAACGCGUAUCCAACCUGCCUUACACUCUUGGACAGCCUUCUGAAAGGGAGAUUAAUACAAGAUGUUAUCAUGAGUAAGCAUUUUCGCAUGAUUAAAGGUUUACCGGUGUAGGAUGGGGAUGCGUUCCAUUAGAUAGUAGGCGGGUAACGGCCACCUAGUCUUCGAUGGAUGGGGUUCUGAGAGGAGGUCCCCCANAUUGGAACUGAGACACGGUCCAAACUCCUACGGGAGGCA
rnacentral:rRNA from 1 species